rnacentral:rRNA from 1 species
GACGAACGCUGGCGGCGUGCUUAACACAUGCAAGUCGAACGGAAAGGCCCUGCUUUUGUGGGGUGCUCGAGUGGCGAACGGGUGAGUAACACGUGAGUAACCUGCCCUUGACUUUGGGAUAACUUCAGGAAACUGGGGCUAAUACCGGAUAGGAGCUCCUGCUGCAUGGUGGGGGUUGGAAAGUUUCGGCGGUUGGGGAUGGACUCGCGGCUUAUCAGCUUGUUGGUGGGGUAGUGGCUUACCAAGGCUUUGACGGGUAGCCGGCCUGAGAGGGUGACCGGCCACAUUGGGACUGGGAUACGGCCCAGACUCCUACGGGAGGCAGCAGUGGGGAAUAUUGCACAAUGGGCGGAAGCCUGAUGCAGCAACGCCGCGUGCGGGAUGACGGCCUUCGGGUUGUAAACCGCUUUCGCCUGUGACGAAGCGUGAGUGACGGUAAUGGGUAAAGAAGCACCGGCUAACUACGUG